GGCCCGUUGGUCAAGCGGCUAAGACACCGCCCUUUCACGGCGGUAACGCGAGUUCGAUUAUCGCACGGGUCA
rnacentral:tRNA from 1 species